rnacentral:rRNA from 1 species
UACAGAGGGUGCAAGCGUUAACCGGAAUUACUGGGCGUAAAGCGUGCGUAGUCGGCCAUUUAAGUCGGGUGUGAAAUCCCCGGGCUCAACCUGGGAAUUGCAUUCGGUACUGGAUGGCUAGAGUUCGGCAGAGGGAAGCGGAAUUUCCGGUGUAGCGGUGAAAUGCGUAGAUAUCGGAAGGAACAUCAGUGGCGAAAGCGGCUUCCUGGACCAGAACUGACGAUCAGGCACGAAAGCGUGGGGAGCAAACAGG